UACGUAAUGCGAAUUGCAGGAUUCAGUGAGUCAUCGAAAUUUUGAACGCAUAUUGCACUUCCGGGUUAGUCCUGGAAGUAUGCCUGUAUCAGUGUCCGUACAACAAACUUGGUUUUCUUCUUUCCGUGUAGUCGGUGGAGGAUAUGCCAGAUAUGAAGU
rnacentral:rRNA from 1 species